UACGUAGGGGGCAAGCGUUGUCCGGAUUUAUUGGGCGUAAAGCGCUCGCAGGUGGUCCGUCGCGUCGUGCGUGAAAGACCCCGGCUCAACUGGGGAGGGUCGUGCGAUACGGGCGGACUGGAGGCCAGUAGGGGGAUGCGGAAUUCCGGGUGUAGUGGUGGAAUGCGUAGAGAUCCGGAGGAACACCCGUGGCGAAGGCGGUUCUCUGGGACGGUACUGACGCUGGGACGCGAAAGCGUGGGGAGCGAACAGG
rnacentral:rRNA from 1 species